UAUGGAUGUAGCUCAGUGGUAGAAUGGUUACUUAGCAUGUAUGAGGUCCUGGGUUUGAUCCCCAGCACCACAA
rnacentral:tRNA from 1 species